rnacentral:rRNA from 1 species
GCAUAACGCGAAGAACCUUACCUGGACUUGACAUCCCUUUGACCGUCUUUUAACCGAGACUUUCCCUUCGGGGACAGAGGAGACAGGUGGUGCAUGGUUGUCGUCAGCUCGUGUCGUGAGAUGUUGGGUUAAGUCCCGCAACGAGCGCAACCCUUGUCUUUAGUUGCCAUCAUUAAGUUGGGCACUCUAGAGAGACUGCCGGGGAUAACUCGGAGGAAGGUGGGAUGACGUCAAAUCAUCAUGCCCCUUAUGUUCAGGGCUACACACGUGCUACAAUGGCCGAUACAACGGGCAGCGAAAGAGUAAUCUGGAGCAAAUCCUACAAAAUCGGUCCCAGUUCGGAUUGUGGGCUGAAACUCGCCCACAUGAAUUGGGAUUGCUAGUAAUCGCGGAUCAGAAUGUCGCGGUG